GAUGAACGCUGGCGGCGUGCCUAAUACAUGCGAGUCGAGCGAACAGACGAGGAGCUUGCUCCUCUGACGUUAGCGGCGGACGGGUGAGUAACACGUGGAUAACCUACCUAUAAGACUGGGAUAACUUCGGGAAACCGGAGCUAAUACCGGAUAAUAUAUUGAACCGCAUGGUUCAAUAGUGAAAGACGGUUUUGCUGUCACUUAUAGAUGGAUCCGCGCCGCAUUAGCUAGUUGGUAAGGUAACGGCUUACCAAGGCAACGAUGCGUAGCCGACCUGAGAGGGUGAUCGGCCACACUGGAACUGAGACACGGUCCAGACUCCUACGGGAGGCAGCAGUAGGGAAUCUUCCGCAAUGGGCGAAGGCCUGACGGAGCAACGCCGCGUGAGUGAUGAAGGUCUUCGGAUCGUAAAACUCUGUUAUUAGGGAAGAACAAAUGUGUAAGUAACUAUGCACGUCUUGACGGUACCUAAUCAGAAAGCCACGGCUAACUGCGUG
rnacentral:rRNA from 1 species